rnacentral:rRNA from 1 species
AACGAACGCUGGCGGCAUGCCUAACACAUGCAAGUCGAACGGGACCUUCGGGUCUAGUGGCGCACGGGUGCGUAACGCGUGGGAACCGGCCCUUAGGUUCGGAAUAACUCCCCGAAAGGGGUGCUAAUACCGGAUAAUGUCUUCGGACCAAAGAUUUAUCGCCUUUGGAUGGGCCCGCGUUGGAUUAGCUAGUUGGUAGGGUAAAAGCCUACCAAGGCGACGAUCCAUAGCUGGUCUGAGAGGAUGAUCAGCCACACUGGGACUGAGACACGGCCCAGACUCCUACGGGAGGCAGCAGUGGGGAAUAUUGGACAAUGGGCGAAAGCCUGAUCCAGCAAUGCCGCGUGAGUGAUGAAGGCCUUAGGGUUGUAAAGCUCUUUUACCCGGGAUGAUAAUGACAGUACCGGGAGAAUAAGCUCCGGCUAACUCCGUG